rnacentral:lncRNA from 1 species
AAAACAAUAGUUGUGAAUUUAAGUAUCAGUGACAUUCUGUAGAUUUGUUUUUCUUGCAAUCUUAUCAAACAGUGAGUUUCCAUGGCAUGUAUAGCAUAAUUAGUUCAGAAACCGUAUGAAAUGAAGGGUCAGAAUUUGGCAGUGUGGGGAUUGUACUAGAAGAAAAAGGCUUCACUGGAAGUAAACACAGCCCAAGCCACAUUCGUAAUGAGAACUGAUGAAAUGUAAUUUUAUUGACAUGAAGCUGCUUCAUAUCUGAAUACAGCCUCACUGUCAGUGUUGUGUCUUCAGACAGGACCUGGGCCUCACUGUCCAAGCAGUGCAGUAAAAGCAGAGCAGAGGUGAGUCGGCUGGAGGCGGAGUUACUGGAGGAGAGGAGGAGGAGGAGCAGGAUGAAGAGAAUCAUGCAGGAAGCAGCCGUCGCUCUCAGACAGGCCCUGAUGGAUGCACCGACAGACCAGGACUCUGUCGUCCAGUGGAGGCAGCUGAUGGAGAAGCUGAUGGUGGUCUUGGACCGGCCAACACUCACCAAUGCCACCACUGAGACAGAGCAGCACACUUCUGACCCUGCUGCCGCCAGAGAAGCGAGCCUGAAUCCAGCUUCGAGUUUCCAGUUCGAGCUGGCCCGCUACAGGCCGGGCGAUCUCGGCCUCGUACCCCGGCCCACACCGAAACACAAACACAUACUCUCCAGGCCGGGAGCAGCUGGGUCCGGCAGCUCCCAUGUGCCUCUGCACAGGAAGCCCUCCAGUCAGAAAACAGACAGCGCCAGUAACCGGACUGGUUCAGCGGUCAGACUUUCGACCUGCAGAAACUCAUUCACUAAACCCAAAAACAUGUAACAAAAAUAAUUUCCUGUUUAUGUUUUGGAGAUAUGAAGGGUUUUCUCAAACAUGGAGGAUCCAGUCUGUUGAUAGUUUUACCUUCUGUCCUCACUCAGCAGACAGAAUAAGGACGCAACAGUGAAACUCCUGAGAGUAUUGAAUUGAUCAACGGUUUAUUUAAUUCAACUUUUCAUUAGUUUUUAGAGCACUUCUCUAAAUGUUGGACAUGAACCAUUUUGUCUAGAAAUAAAAUAUUUUUGUCAGAGUGAAAAAAAAGAUUGUUUUUAAUGGCCUCUUUUCUUCUGCUAAACA